rnacentral:rRNA from 1 species
CCUGCGGAAGGAUCAUUACCGAGUGCGGGCCCUCUGGGUCCAACCUCCCACCCGUGUCUAUUGUACCUUGUUGCUUCGGCGGGCCCGCCGUUUCGACGGCCGCCGGGGAGGCCCUCGCGCCCCCGGGCCCGCGCCCGCCGAAGACCCCAACAUGAACGCUGUUCUGGAAGUAUGCAGUCUGAGUUUGAUUAUCAUAAUCAGUUAAAACUUUCAACAACGGAUCUCUUGGUUCCGGCAUCGAUGAAGAACGCAGCGAAAUGCGAUAACUAAUGUGAAUUGCAGAAUUCAGUGAAUCAUCGAGUCUUUGAACGCACAUUGCGCCCCCUGGUAUUCCGGGGGGCAUGCCUGUCCGAGCGUCAUUGCUGCCCUCAAGCACGGCUUGUGUGUUGGGCCCCCGUCCCCGGUUUCUCCCCGGGGACGGGCCCGAAAGGCAGCGGCGGCACCGCGUCCGGUCCUCGAGCGUAUGGGGCUUUGUCACCCGCUCUGUAGGCCUGGCCGGCGCCAGCCGACACCCCCAACUUUAUUUUUCUAAGGUUGACCUCGGAUCAGGUAGGGAUACCCG